CACGUAGGGUGCGAGCGUUGUCCGGAAUUAUUGGGCGUAAAGAGCUCGUAGGCGGUGUGUCGCGUCGGCCGUGAAAACCUGCAGCUUAACUGUGGGCUUGCGGUCGAUACGGGCAUCACUGGAGUUCGGCAAGGGAGACUGGAAUUCCUGGUGUAGCGGUGAAAUGCGCAGAUAUCGGGAGGAACACCGGUGGCGAAGGCGGUUCUCUGGGCCUUACCUGACGCUGAGGAGCGAAAGCGUGGGGAGCGAACAGG
rnacentral:rRNA from 1 species